ACGAACGCUGGCGGUGCGCCUCAUACAUGCAAGUCGAGCGAAGAGGCCCCUCGGGGUACUUCAGCGGCGGACGGGUGAGUAACACGUAGGUAACGUGCCCUUUACUGGGGGAUAACAGAGGGAAACUUCUGCUAAUACCGCAUAAGACAGUAGUUGAAAUACUGCUGUUUAAAGCCCCGGCGGUAAAGGAUCGGCCUGCGUCGGAUUAGCUAGUUGGUGUGGUAAUGGCGCACCAAGGCUUCGAUUCGUAGUUGGUCUGAGAGGAUGGCCAGCCACAGUGGGACUGAGACACGGCCCACACUCCUACGGGAGGCAGCAGUAGGGAAUUUUGCGCAAUGGGCGAAAGCCUGACGCAGCGACACCGCGUGGAGGAAGAAGGUUCUAGGAUUGUAAACUCCUUUCGGCAGGGAAGAAUAAAUGACGGUACCUGCAGAAGAAGCACCGGCUAACUACGUGCCAGCCGCCGCAGUAA
rnacentral:rRNA from 1 species